GGCAGCAUGGGAGUAGUAAUACUUCUGAUGGCGACCGGCGCACGGGCGCGUAACGCGUAUGCAACCUACCUGUAACAGGGGGAUAACACUGAGAAAUCGGUACUAAUACCGCAUAACACUAUGAGAGGCAUCUCUUGUGGUUGAAAGUUUCGGCGGUUACAGAUGGGCAUGCGUUGUAUUAGCUGGUUGGUAAGGUAACGGCUUACCAAGGCGACGAUACAUAGGGGGACUGAGAGGUUAACCCCCCACAUUGGUACUGAGACACGGACCAAACUCCUACGGGAGGCAGCAGUGAGGAAUAUUGGUCAAUGGACGGAAGUCUGAACCAGCCAUGCCGCGUGCAGGAAGACGGCUCUAUGAGUUGUAAACUGCUUUUGUACAAGGGUAAACCUGAAUACGUGUAUUCAGCUGAAAGUACUGUACGAAUAAGGAUCGGCUAACUCCGUGCCAGCAGCCGCGGUAAUACGGAGGAUCCAAGCGUUAUCCGGAUUUAUUGGGUUUAAAGGGUGCGUAGGCGGAUUGAUAAGUUAGAGGUGAAAUGUCCGAGCUUAACUCGGGAACUGCCUCUAAUACUGUUGAUCUAGAGAGUAGAUGCGGUAGGCGGAAUGUAUGGUGUAGCGGUGAAAUGCUUAGAGAUCAUACAGAACACCGAUUGCGAAGGCAGCUUACCAAUCUAUAUCUGACGUUGAGGCACGAAAGCGUGGGGAGCAAACAGGAUUAGAUACCCUGGUAGUCCACGCAGUAAACGAUGAUAGCUCGUUGUCGGCG
rnacentral:rRNA from 1 species